AUAACAGAAUGAACCAGCAAUCAUAAUGUAGGCAGUUUGAUCUAGGUUUAUUUUCCUGUAAACAUACUUUUCUCAACAUGUACAUCUUUUCAUUAUGAGACAAUAUCUCAUAUAAUUUUAAUCCAAAUAUAAAGCUGUAAAACUAAAACUAUAUGUUAGUUUUAGUCUAGACCAGGUAACCAAUUUAUAAAGCAGAUCAUGAUUUAACUUCUAAAUUAAGUUGUACCACUAGGGGGUGAACAUGUGACUUGAGGUACCACUAGGGGGUGAACAUGUGACUUGAGGUACCACUAGGGGGUGAACAUGUGACUUGAGGUACCACUAGGGGGUGAACAUGUGACUUGAGGUACCACUAGGGGGUGAACAUGUGACUUGAGGUACCACUAGGGGGUGAACAUGUGACUUGAGGUACCACUAGGGGGUGAACAUGUGACUUGAGGUACCACUAGGGGGUGAACAUGUGACUUGAGGUACCACUAGGGGGUGAACAUGUGACUUGAGGUACCACUAGGGGUGAACAUGUGACUUGAGGUACCACUAGGGGGUGAACAUGUGACUUGAGGUACCACUAGGGGAUGAACAUGUGACUUGAGGUACCACUAGGGGAUGAACAUGUGACUUGAGGUACCACUAGGGGGUGAACAUGUGACUCGAGGUACCACUAGGGGAUGAACAUGUGACU